UACGUAGGGUGCAAGCGUUGUCCGGAAUUAUUGGGCGUAAAGAGCUCGUAGGCGGUUUGUCGCGUCGGCUGUGAAAACCUGGGGCUCAACCCCGGGCCUGCAUUCGAUACGGGCAGACUAGAGUACGGCAGGGGAGACUGGAAUUCCUGGUGUAGCGGUGAAAUGCGCAGAUAUCAGGAGGAACACCGAUGGCGAAGGCAGGUCUCUGGGCAUUAACUGACGCUGAGGAGCGAAAGCAUGGGGAGCGAACAGG
rnacentral:rRNA from 1 species